CAGGCACUCACCACCACGCCCAGCUAAAUUUUUGUAUUUUUAGUAGAGACAGGGUUUCAUCAAGGUGGCCAGGAUGAUCUUGAUCUCUUGACCUCAUGAUCCACCUGCCUCGGCCUCCCAAAGUGCUGGGAUUACAGGUGUGAGCCACCACACCCAGCCAUUUAUUUCUAUUAUUUGUCCCCAUUUACCUUGCCAGGAAGAGUUGUUGAGAAAUAGCAUGAGCUACACUGUGAGGCUCCGAAGGCUCACCUGUUCCUGGCAUGGCAUUCCUAUUCCCAAGGUGCUCUCCUGGGUCUCUGACAGUCUGCUCCCUGCUAAUUGGUGCAGAUGGGAGUAGGAGGAUGAGCAGAGUACACGAGGGAAGAAGCAGAUUCUCCCAACGACGAAGCAGAGUCUCAGAGACAUUAAACAAUUUGCCCAACUUGAAGCAACUAGCAGGAGGCUUAGUCAGGAUGAGGCUGCAGGUCUCUCUGUCUCCAAGGAAAGUUUCCCAGGCAUUGACUCCACUGCCUGAAGUAGGUAGGGUUUAUUUUUGGAUUCUCUUUCCAUCCCUUUAGAUAACCUGUUUCCUUACUUCUGGUACUCCUUGUCGUGAUCAAAUUUUCCAGGACCUGUGCUGCGAAACAGGGUUCCUGGGAUUG